AGUAUAUUUCGUUGGCUAAACCUACAAUGCGAGAAUCAUCAGACCUUGCAGAGCUUGGUUGUGUAGUGAUGCAAUUAUAGAUGACUUAUGGAAAAUUAUAUGCAUGAGAAAUUUGUAAGGAAGUACACAAGCUGACAAAUAGUAUGACAGGACAGACAUGGCUAGCACAGUAGUUGAAAAAUGAAUGGAGGACAGGAUAAAGCCUAAGCAGAGGAACUACUAAAGACGGCUGUGAAAUUCAUUCAACUAAUUCCAGCUCCAAACACCACUUCAACAAUGGCUAUUGUAUUGUUGAAGAUCAAUGAAUGCAUAAGUAGGUACUCUUAUGUCUGCACUCAGUAAUGCCAGCCUGUCUGUCUCUAAUCAGUCAUAUCAAUGACACUUCAUGAAACAAAAACAUGCACAGUUCAACAACUGGAAAUGGUAUGACUACCUAAAAUGAAGUUCAUAAAUAUUCAUUAGUACCUGACAAUUUCUUUUCCAUAAG
rnacentral:misc_RNA from 1 species